AUUGAACGCUGGAGGCAGGCCUAACACAUGCAAGUCGAACGAGUGGCGGACGGGUGAGUAAUGUCUGGGAAACUGCCUGAUGGAGGGGGAUAACUAAUGGAAACGGUAGCUAAUACCGCAUACCAACGGAGGUGCCCAGAUGGGAUUAGCUAGUAGGUGGGGUAAAGGCUCACCUAGGCGACGAGCCCUAGCUGGUCUGAGAGGAUGACCAGCCACACUGGAACUGAGACACGGUCCAGACUCCUACGGGAGGCAGCAGUGGGGAAUAUUGCACAAUGGGCGCAAGCCUGAUGCAGCCAUGCCGCGUGUAUGAAGAAUGCCUUCGGGUUGUAAAGUACUUUCAGCGGGGAGGCGUUACCCGCAGAAGAAGCACCGGCUAACUCCGUGCCAGCAGCCGCGGUAAUUC
rnacentral:rRNA from 1 species